GAGCAAAUCCCAAAAGGCGUCUCAGUUCGGAUUGCAGGCUGCAACUCGCCUGUAUGAAGUCGGAAUUGCUAGUAAUCGCGGAUCAGCAUGCCGCGGUGAAUACGUUCCCGGGCCUUGUACACACCGCCCGUCACACCAUGAGAGCCGGGAACACCCGAAGUCCGUAGUCUAACCGCAAGGAGGACGCGGCCGAAGGUGGGUUUGGUAAUUGGGGUGAAGUCGUAACAAGGUAAC
rnacentral:rRNA from 1 species